CGCGCAGGCGGCUGGUCAAGUCCGAUGUGAAAUCUCCCGGCUCAACUGGGAAACUGCAUCGGAAACUGACCGGCUUGAAGGUGGGAGAGGGUAGUGGAAUUCCCGGUGUAGUGGUGAAAUGCGUAGAUAUCGGGAGGAACACCAGUGGCGAAGGCGACUACCUGGCCCAUUCUUGACGCUGAGGCGCGAAAGCUAGGGAGCAACG
rnacentral:rRNA from 1 species